rnacentral:tRNA from 1 species
UCGGUGGUGGGCAUCUCGGUGGUGCUGGUGGUGCUGGACCCGCCGCUGGCCGCGGUCGUGCUGUUCGGGUUCGUGCCGCUGAUC